CUGGGUCACUGGGCGCUCCGGCGCCCAACACCAACCCUGAGCUUCCCGCCCCUCCUUUGGCGCGAAAGGGGCUCCCUCGCGAAGCGAGCGCGGCCCCUGCCAAAAGCAAUUCUGAACAACCUUGCAGCCUGAAGUAAAAAAGCAAAUAGUUA
rnacentral:misc_RNA from 1 species